rfam:Felis catus isolate Cinnamon breed Abyssinian chromosome C1, whole genome shotgun sequence.
GCCUGGGUGGCUCAGUCGGUUAAGUAUCAGACUUCUGCUCAGGUCAUGAUCUCCUGGUUUGUGGGUUUGAGCCCCACGUCAGGCU